UAUUUUUGAAGUUGGGUCCACAUCGGGAACAUGCGCUGAACAGAAUGAUAUUACUAUGCAUAACACUGCAAAUAGAGUAUCCAUUGCUAUUUCCUUAUGGACAAAACGGAUGACACUGUGGUAUUAAAAAAAUUAUUCGAA